rnacentral:rRNA from 1 species
CCAGGUUAUUGCCCAGUACGGCGAGUGAGCGGCAACAGCUCAAAUUUGAAAUCUGGCCCCUCCGGGUCCGAGUUGUAAUUUGUAGAGGAUGCUUUUGGUGAGGUGCCGCCCGAGUUCCCUGGAACGGGACGCCACAGAGGGUGAGAGCCCCGUCUGGCUGGCCACCGAGCCUCUGUAAAGCUCCUUCGACGAGUCGAGUAGUUUGGGAAUGCUGCUCAAAAUGGGAGGUAUAUGUCUUCUAAAGCUAAAUAUUGGCCAGAGACCGAUAGCGCACAAGUAGAGUGAUCGAAAGAUGAAAAGCACCUUGAAAAGAGGGUUAAACAGUACGUGAAAUUGUUGAAAGGGAAGCGCUUGUGACCAGACUUGGGCGCGGCGGAUCAUCCGGGGUUCUCUCCGGUGCACUUCGCCGCGUUCAGGCCAGCAUCAGUUCGUCGCGGGGGAAAAAGGCUUCGGGAACGUGGCUCCUCCGGGAGUGUUAUAGCCCGUUGCAUAAUACCCUGCGGUGGACUGAGGACCGCGCAUCUGCAAGGAUGCUGGCGUAAUGGUCACCAGCGACCCGUCUUGAACCACGGACCCACUCAGCCCAGCAAGGGGCGCAUGCGCGGUCUUAGUCCCCCCCCUCAUAUCCGGCGAGGCGCUAGACCCUCCCGAUAAGCGAGGUGCAAGUCACGGUCGCGUUCCAUGACGUCGGCAGAAACGCGCCUUUUUCCCGCACAGAAACCGAGAAUCCCCCCUGUCGGUCUCAUCACUUCCUGUCACAAUCCCUACGUAUCACCCCCUUCCGCGUGAU